AUGGCGUCUAUGCUUGAUCAGUGCAAGGUCGUUUUCGCGGGGGCUGAUAUGAUCCAGCAUCUUAUGCCUCGGUGGCAAAGGGGGAAAAGGAAAAACAAGUGGCGUGUGCUGCUGUUCCAGCGCCUGGAUCUGGCCUUCUUCCCCAGCUGUGAAACAUCUGAAUCCCAGUUGCAGGUGCCGACGAUGCCAGUGCAGAGGAUGGCAUCGAUCUCAAGUGGGAGUUCGAUGAGGAACGUGGCCGUUACUAUGUGUCUUUUCCUGAUGAUCAGUAGUGGAGCCCAGUUGGGACGAUCGGGGAUCUAG
rnacentral:rRNA from 1 species